CUGCCGGCUAAAAGUCGGAGGAAGGUGGGGAUGACGUCAAAUCAUCAUGCCCCUUAUGACCUGGGCUACACACGUGCUACAAUGGGCGGUACAAAGGGUCGCGAACCCGCGAGGGGGAGCCAAUCCCAAAAAGCCGCUCUCAGUUCGGAUUGCAGGCUGCAACUCGCCUGCAUGAAGCCGGAAUCGCUAGUAAUCGCGGAUCAGCAUGCCCGCGGUCGAAUACGUUCCGGGCCUU
rnacentral:rRNA from 1 species